rnacentral:rRNA from 1 species
UACGUAGGGGGCAAGCGUUGUCCGGAUUUCUUGGGCGUAAAGAGCGUGUAGGCGGUUAGGUAGGUCCGUUGUGAAAACUCGAGGCUCAACCUCGAGACGCCGAUGGAAACCAUCUAACUAGAGUCCGGAAGAGGAGAAUGGAAUUCCUGGUGUAGCGGUGAAAUGCGCAGAUAUCAGGAAGAACACCCGUGGCUAAGGCGGUUCUCUAGUACGGUACUGACGCUGAGACGCGAAAGCGUGGGGAGCAAACAGG